rnacentral:rRNA from 1 species
CCUACGGGAGGCAGCAGUGAGGAAUAUUGGUCAAUGGCCGGAAGGCUGAACCAGCCAUGCCGCGUGAAGGUCAGUGCCCUAUGGGCGUUAAACUUCUUUUGUGCGGGAGCAAUAAUGGUCACGUGUGGCCAGACGAGAGUACCGUACGAAUAAGCAUCGGCUAAAUCCGUGCCAGCAGCCGCGGUAAUACGGGGGAUGCAAGCGUUAUCCGGAUUUAUUGGGUUUAAAGGUUGCGUAGGCUGGGAGGUAAGUUAGCGGGGAAAUGCCCCCGCUCAACGGGGUGAAGUGCCAUUGAUACUGCCUUGCUGGAAUGCGGAUGCCGUGGGAGGAAUGUGUGGUGUAGCGGUGAAAUGCAUAGAGAUCACACAGAACACCGAUUGCGAAGGCAUCUCACGAAUCCGCGAUUGACGCUGAUGCACGAAAGCGUGGGUAUCAAACAGGAUUAGAUACCCUAGUAGUC